rnacentral:lncRNA from 1 species
AAGGGUGAUAACGUUAGCGUGGCCUCUUGGGUUUGGUUAAGAUUGACCAGGAAAUGCUACAUUUGGGGUUGCUAUUGCGGCUUGUUGUUGGGAUACUUGGGAGAUCUGGAUUUCUAACAUUUUGUUAUGGGUAGCAAUAGUGUAGUGGUAAAUUCAUGACCAUUAAGCUAUGGAUAAACUUGACGUCAAUAAAACCAGAGUCACCACCGCGCUUUUAUUAUUUCCAAAGGAAA